GUUUCUGUAGUGUAGCGGUUAUCAUGUUCGUCUAACACACGGAAGGUCCCUGGUUCGAAACCGGUCUGAAACA